GAUUGGGCUCCACAUACAAGAUAAUGGGAGAAUGCUUCACAGGUGGAUCCAAGCAGGGCGUAAGUGGCAACAGGAUUGAGAAGCCUGGGUAAGCUACGUAGUUGUCUUCUGUCAGUAAAUCUUGCAAUGAACAUGUCUCAGGUUUCUUUGGAAUCCUCAAUUCUGCGCUGCUCUGCUGACUCACACCACUGUGAUCUCACAAAGAGAGAAAGUUUUGCUUCCUUCUCAGCUGGGAGUCUGCACACAGCAGAAGCUAUUUCCUCACCCAUGGCUCACAGGUGAAGAUGUGGGCUGUAUCAGAGCUUGCAAGUGAGUCAACCUGGAGUGAAGACUAUGAGGAUCUGAAACUCUGUCCUCCAGCCAUUCGCUGCAAAGACGAUGAACUGGCAUUGUUCAGACAAUGAGGAGUUCUGCGGCACCUUAGACUCCUCCCUGGUUUUUGCAGACCGAUAUAGCUACCCCUCUGUGGCACUGUACAACUGGCUGUUCCAUGGCACAGAAGUUUUGAGACCAUAUUUUAGGAAGGAACUGAGUAAGUGACAGAAUAAAGCUACAGUUCAGUGUCAUAUUGUCCAUCUGCCAAACAAACAAAAUAAACUUACAA